ensembl:lncRNA
CUGCUGCUGAGACCCUCCUGGGGGAGCCAGCUCAUCUUUCUGUCCGCCCAGUGCUCCUGGUGCCUUUCUCUUCCUGUGUCUGCCUGUGCCACUGGGGGCAGAGUCCUUCACCUCUCUCCGCUCGACCUCAGUUUGCGCAUCUGUAAAACGGGGUCACGUUCGCAUCUGCGCUUUAGGGUCCUUUUGAGGAUUAGCGAAAUUCCUAGAUGGUGUUUGGCACCGUGUCAGAAAGCCAAAGGCUCAGUUCAUAAGACCAAUUGUCGCCGUUAUUCCCUUCUCCCUCCUUUCAUGGAGGGACAGGAGCCAGGCCGGGUGGGCUCCAUCUCCCCGCGCGCCGCCACCAUCUCCUCUUUCCCACCCCGUCCCCGCCUCCUUAGCGUCCCAGGAGAGCGGACCGUUGAACUCAUCCCGGGGUCCUCCUGCAGCGCUCUGACCCCUUCGCGCGCGCGCGCGCCUCUGCCUCAGUUUCGCCUCCGCGGAAGCGGCGAGCUCCCGCCGCGCCCCUCGGGGGUGUGUCCGGGUCCCGCCGCCCCGCCGGCGGCGCGCAGGAACGGCGGUGCGCCCCCGCCCAGCCGGCGCGCGCGUGGUCUCCGCACCUCGGGUCCACGUGAUUUCCCGGCAGCGGCCUCCGGCUCCCGGCACUGCCCCGCAGCUCUCCGCGCUGGCUUUCAGUUUCGUGCGCAGCGCGCUGGGGAAGGAGCGCAGCCGCAGCCUGCCCUAUGGAAACAACCUGAAAAUCGGCUCAUAGCACAAGACUUGGCCCAGGUACUCAUGAGACCAUCUCUGCGGACACCCUCGAACGUCUAGGAUGAACCAGGAAGCCAAGUAGGUGACCUCUACCCUUUGCCCCCUCUCUUACCCUCCCACCCACUCCCUCACUCCCCUACUACUCCCUACCAGCUGCUCCCUACCCAGAUUACCCAGGUUUACCUCUCUGGGCUGCCCCUGAUAUAACAAGCCUACCCUUAGCCACCAUUCAGCUUGAGAGUGAAAGUCAUGAGACACAGAAAAUCAGGAAGGGCCUUGAGACGGCAUCUGAUUUACCCACCUUACAGAUGAUGUGACUGAGGCCCAGAUAGAGAAUAGACUUGCUCAAGGCUAUGCUAUGAGUGUAUCAGCUAGCAUAGGCCAAUAACAAACAACCACCAAUGUCCUGGUGGCUUAUGACAACAGAAGCUUACUUCCUGAUCCUACUUCUUGUCUAUCGUCAAUCAACUGGGACCUCUGUUCCGCAUAAUCCUCUUGCUGGACCCAGGCUAAAGGAGCAGCCAAGAUCUGGAAUACUGCUGGUCCCUGUGGUAGAGGGAGAGAGAGAGCAUGGUGAAUCACGCACUGGCUCUUAAAACUUCUGCACAGACAUGACAUGUGUCAUUCUUCAGCAUAUUUCAUUGGCCAAAGCAAGUGUUGUGGCCAUACCUGAUGUCAAGAGAGCAGGGCAGUGCAAUCCUUCCAAGGGCCUAGAAAGAGGAGAAAGAGAAUAUCUGUGAACGGCCCUAAUGCUGACCACAGAGAAUUAGAUACAGAGCCAGGUCAAGAAUGCUCGUCCCCUAACUUUGGGGCUGAAGAUCUUUCUACUAUAAUCCUCUGUCUCCAAGGCUAUUUUCAUAGAAAUCUCAAUGACCAAUCAUAAUGUAAUGUGCUCUUUCUCCCAGGGAUGGUUACCCUUAAAGAGCUUGAUGCUGUACCCCGAGGGGAUCGAGCACUAAUGCUAGAGAUAAAGGCGUUGUGUCAGACCGGCAGGAGGACACAUUUGAAGAUGAAAGGACUUCCGCAGAAAUGAUACCGUCCAGGCGCACCUCACUUCCGCCUGACGCCUCGUUGUCCCGGCCGAUUUCUUUAUGGACAUCGUGGACUUUGAACACUGUAGCCCGGAAGAGAAGCUGCGCCCUGGGCCAUAACCACAUCCUCUUACCAAGAUCACACAAAGUCCGGGGACUGGUCUGGUGCCAUCUAGGGCUCCAAGGCCUCGGAAAUGUACUGAUCUGACAGGCGAUAAAUCUCAAUUCUGAGCCUGGCUCUGCCAUGGACUUUCAGUAUGACUUUGGGUACAUCCUUUCCCCUCCUUGGCCUCAGUCUUCCCGUCUGUUCAGUGGGGAUGGUGAUCCCUGCCUGCCCCAUGGAUGUGAGCAUGUUUCAUGAAUUCUGAAGCUCUGUGUCUGAGAGAGGAUCUAUUGCCAUCAGUCCAGUUGCCAAGGUAUGACCAGAGGAGACUGGGGACACGUGCCCAGAGGCCUCUGGUGGGUGGGACUCAAGGGAACAGCUGCCGUCUGAACCUCAGGACACAUAGUCCUGUGCCCCAGCCUCUGGGAGUUGCUAAGGCUGCUCCUGGGUGAGCCUCCCACUCUUCUCAGAAGUGGGGUCUCCAUAGAUGUGGGGAUUAUAUGAGACACAUAAAGCACUUAGAACAUAGUAUGUGCUUUCUGAGUGUUUGCUACUGUUGUUAAGGAAAUAAUGCCAGAAAGUUCAUCUGGAAAUGUUACAGCAUUUUCCACUGUAUCAUGGACCACCAAUUAGUUAACUAAUUAGUUAACAACUAAUGUUGUUUCCAAUUUUAUGUAUAUAAAAAGUCUUGAGGUGAACAGCUUUGCAAUUAAAAAUUUUAUGCACACCUAUAAUGAUAUCCUAAGGUUAGAGUGCUAGGAACAGAUUUGCCGAAUCAAAGGGACUGCAUAUUUUUUAAGCUUUGCUAUGUAAGUGCCCCUGGCCUUAUAUUGGUAAUCCUACCAGCAGGUUGAGAGUGCCAGUUUAGAAAAGAAGUUGCUUAGAGAGAGAGCGAUGGUUUGUGUUAGAUUGGAUUCAAUUUCACUGAGCAGCAAAAAGCCCUAAAAAAUAGUGCUUUAAAUAGACAUUUCCUUGUCAUGUAAGAGACAUUCAGGACAGGUGGAAAGGCUUACCUUACACCUUCUCUGCACUGGCUUCUACCUCAUGAUCCAAUAUGGCUGCCCAAAGUUCAGCCAUCAUGCUGACAUUCCAAGCAAUAGGAAGAAACAGAGAAAGAUGUACAACACUUCCAUUUAUAUCCCAUUGGCCAAAACUUAGUAAGAUGGCUAAUUCUAAAUGCAAGGGAGGCUGGGAAAUAAAGCCUAUUCCAGAUGACCA